rnacentral:rRNA from 1 species
UAAACUACGAUUAGAUACCCUAUUAUAAGGAAUGUCAAGUUUUACCAGGGUAGUAUUAGUUAUGUUCUUUAAACCCAAAGAAUUUGGCGGUGUUUUAGUCUAUUUAGAGGAACUUGCCCUGUAAUCGAUAAUCCUCGUUUUAUCUUUCUUUAUUUUGUUUUCAGUAAGUAUACCGCCGUUAUAAGUUUAUUUUUUUAGAAUUAUAAUUUACUUUAAAAAUUAUUUUUUAUUAUUUCAGGUCAAGGUGCUGCUUAUAAUUAAGUGGAGGUGAGUUACAUUAUUAUUUUAAUAUACGUAUUUUAUUUUGAAAUAUUUAAAUGAAGGUGGAUUUAAUAGUAAUUUUGAUUAUUUAAUCAUUUUGAUUCUAGCUCUAAAAUAAGUACACAUCG